rnacentral:rRNA from 1 species
UACGAAGGGGGCUAGCGUUGCUCGGAAUCACUGGGCGUAAAGCGCACGUAGGCGGGUCGUUAAGUCAGGGGUGAAAUCCUGGAGCUCAACUCCAGAACUGCCCUUGAUACUGAGGAUCUCGAGUUCGGGAGAGGUGAGUGGAACUGCGAGUGUAGAGGUGAAAUUCGUAGAUAUUCGCAAGAACACCAGUGGCGAAGGCGGCUCACUGGCCCGAUACUGACGCUGAGGUGCGAAAGCGUGGGGAGCAAACAGG